rnacentral:rRNA from 1 species
UAGGGAAUCUUCCGCAAUGGACGAAAGUCUGACGGAGCAACGCCGCGUGAGUGAAGAAGGAUUUCGGUUCGUAAAACUCUGUUGUUAGGGAAGAAAAAAUGUAUAGUAACUAUAUACAAAAGAGACGGUACCUAACCAGAAAGCCACGGCUAACUACGUGCCAGCAGCCGCGGUAAUACGUAGGUGGCAAGCGUUGUCCGGAAUUAUUGGGCGUAAAGCGCGCGCAGGUGGUUUAGAAAGUCUGAUGUGAAAGCCCACGGCUCAACCGUGGAGGGUCAUUGGAAACUAAUAAACUUGAGUGCAGGAGGGAAAAGUGGAAUUCCUGGUGUAGCGGUGAAAUGCGUAGAGAUUAGGAGGAACACCGGUGGCGAAAGCGGCUUUUUGGCCUGCAACUGACACUGAGGCGCGAAAGCGUGGGGAGCAAACAGG